GACGAACGCUGGCGGCGUGCUUAACACAUGCAAGUCGAACGGAAAGGCCCUGCUUUUGUGGGGUGCUCGAGUGGCGAACGGGUGAGUAACACGUGAGUAACCUGCCCUUGACUUUGGGAUAACUUCAGGAAACUGGGGCUAAUACCGGAUAGGAGCUCCUGCCGCAUGGUGGGGGUUGGAAAGUUUCGGCGGUUGGGGAUGGACUCGCGGCUUAUCAGCUUGUUGGUGGGGUAGUGGCUUACCAAGGCUUUGACGGGUAGCCGGCCUGAGAGGGUGACCGGCCACAUUGGGACUGAGAUACGGCCCAGACUCCUACGGGAGGCAGCAGUGGGGAAUAUUGCACAAUGGGCGGAAGCCUGAUGCAGCAACGCCGCGUGCGGGAUGACGGCCUUCGGGUUGUAAACCGCUUUCGCCUGUGACGAAGCGUGAGUGACGGUAAUGUGUAAAGAAGCACCGGCUAACUACGUG
rnacentral:rRNA from 1 species